CGGACGCUGGGGCUGUUUUCAUCGCCAUGACAACUACUGUACUGGUAUGUGUGCAGAGGCAAAGUUAGGGGAGGGCUCGUGGGGGUAAUCGAUCACUCACUCUUGGAGCUAUUUUCUUCUAGAUUCGAUUGGUCCGUGAAUCCUUGCAGCAGGGUGAUGUCACAUCUGUACACGUCUAACGGAGCAAAUGGAAAUGGCAGUUGGGAUGCUGUCUGGCCCAGUUAUUGAUGACAGGGUAGAGAAAAGGAGGGCGAGUUAUUCUAGGCAGUGGCCAGACUUCCCUGGAGAGAUGACAGCAUGAGCUGCUGUUGGUCCUGACUGCAAAGUCAAUGCAGCCUCAGACUCCAGGUCAAGGAGAAGGUAAGAGAAAGGAGCUCCAGGAUGGGGUGUGUCUUAAUACUAUGUCAGCUACCUUGCCUAUGGAUUCCACCAUACUGCUGCUUGUCACUUACCUAGACCAAUAGCAAACCCCACCAACAUCACAUUUCUUCCUAAUACAUGCUUUGUUAUAAAGAAAAUACAAUAUUUUUUAUAAUUAGAUAUCUGCUACAUUUACCAUGAAUAUUUUAAUACAAAAGGCUACAUUUUAAUCUCCCAAUCUAAUGCUGGCCAAUGGUCAUUCUAACAGGAAUGUCAACACACAUUUAACAGAUAUUUAUCUUUAUUUAAACUAAAUAUGAUGAAAAAAAUGAACACAAAACCUUUAAUAUCCUGGAUAUUAUAUUCCUCAUGAUUAUAUUGAAUUACCAAGAUAUCUCCUACAAUUGAUUUGACUUAAGUAGGUAAAUUAGUCUUACAAUACUUUUUUUUAACUUACACACAACAAAUGUGGAUAUAAAAAUAAAUUGAAUGAAAAAUGUACAACAAUCCACAAAUAAUUUAGGGUCUGGUUCUAAGUCUACUUGCUAGUAAUUGUGAAAUCAAUUAAAAUCACCACCCAUCAAUUAAAACCACCGCUCAGAUUUGAACACUAUGUUCUUGCUGAUAAGCAAACAUCUCUUAAGGCAAAAAUAUUGAAGAUCAAGCAGUUAUUUCUGCUUCUUUACAUGCUCAUUUUGUUAGUGGCAAAUCCAUGGUAUACAUAUUUUUGUCAGCAUUGCAUCCAUUAAAGCAAAAACAGUUUGACUUGGGAAUGUUUGUUAUUAUUGUCAUGUUCGGUGCUAAAUGUAAGUAAAAGUCUAAAUUUUCUUCCUAUCAAGAGCAAACCUUGGUUGCCAUAGGAACCAAAAGUGCUAACAAGAUACAUCUGGGAGGCACUCAAAGCUUUGGUCAAAUCUCCUUCAUUAUUAACCAGGUUUACUGUGAAAGAAAGGUGUCGUGCCUUAACCCUAAUUUACCAUUAAGUGUAGUUGCGCUGGAAAUGGCAAGCUGAAUUCAUUUAAUUACUUAAACCUAAAGGCACACUUUCUACAAAAAGAAACCAAAAUACCUCACAUUGCUUGAGACAAGAGCCAUCAGACUGUAAAAGACUGAAAGAUUGUGAAUAUGAAGGCACGUUACUUUGAAAAGACUGGUGAGUACAACAAUCUGUAAGAUUGUUGUACUCACCAGUAACAUUCACACCUAAACUUGUUUCUAAUACCCAGGGUGACUUUCAUAAUCAUAUUACAGUGAGCAUAAACUUCAUACAGGAUACUGUCCACUCAAGUGACAGCUUUCUUAUUCUCAUUCUCUUCAUUGGCAUGGUAACAUUUAAGAAUGCCACCAGAGAAAACUUGGGGCCUGUAGAUGUGGUUACAACAAUAAUACAUGUAAAGAGAACACACUAAAAGACAAAAAUAACAAACACAAAAAAAUCUUCUUGACAUCGUAUAAUCAAGGCCACAGAAAAACAGGCAUACACACACACAUACAACUUUCACAUGGGUACAAACACACACAA